ACUCCUACGGGAGGCAGCAGUAGGGAAUAUUGGUUAAUGUGCGAAAGCGCGAACCAGCAACGCCGCGUGUGCGAUGAAGGCCUUCGGGUCGUAAAGCACUUUUUGCAGGGAAGAGGAAGGACGGUACCUGCAGAAUAAGUCUCGGCUAACUACGUGCCAGCAGCCGCGGUAAAACGUAGGAGACGAGCGUUAUCCGGAUUUACUGGGCGUAAAGCGCGUGCAGGCGGCAUGGCAAGUUGGAUGUGAAGGCUCCCGGCUUAACUGGGAGAGGUCGUUCAAUACUGCCAGGCUUGAGAGUGGUAGAGGGAAGCGGAAUUCCGGGUGUAGUGGUGAAAUGCGUAGAUAUCCGGAGGAACACCAGUGGCGAAAGCGGCUUCCUGGCCCAUUUCUGACGCUCAGACGCGAAAGCUAGGGUAGCAAACGGGAUUAGAGACCCCGGUAGUCCUAGCCGUAAACGAUGUGAACUUGGCGUUGGCGGGUUUAAAUCCGUCAGUGCCGUAGCUAACGCGAUAAGUUCACCGCCUGGGGACUACGGCCGCAAGGUUAAAACUCAAAGGAAUUGACGG
rnacentral:rRNA from 1 species